AUUGAACGCUGGCGGCAUGCCUUACACAUGCAAGUCGAACGGCAGCACGGGAGCAAUCCUGGUGGCGAGUGGCGAACGGGUGAGUAAUAUAUCGGAACGUGCCCAGUAGUGGGGGAUAGCCCGGCGAAAGCCGGACUAAUACCGCAUGAGACCUGAGGGUGAAAGCGGGGGAUCGCAACACCUCGCGCUAUUGGAGCUGCCGAUAUCAGAUUAGCUAGUUGGUGGGGUAAAGGCCUACCAAGGCAACGAUCUGUAGUAGGUCAGAGAGGACGACCAGCAACACUGGGACUGAGACACGGCCCAGACUCCUACGGGAGGCAGCAGUGGGGAAUUUUGGACAAUGGGCGCAAGCCUGAUCCAGCAAUGCCGCGUGCAGGAAGAAGGCCUUCGGGUUGUAAACUGCUUUUGUCAGGGAAGAAAUCCCUUGGGAUAAUACCUCGGGGGGAUGACGGUACCUGAAGAAUAAGCACCGGCUAACUACGUGCCAGCCGCCGCGGUAAUAC
rnacentral:rRNA from 1 species